GGUGGGAGUGUGUGUGUGUAUGUGUUUGUGUGUGUGUGUUAGAAGGAUUUCUGGCCACUAUUGGUGAUACUGGCCAAAUUGCAAGUACUAACCUCUUUGCUUAUGGGGAGGAGGGGAGUGACUCUGGUUACUUUGUUUAAGAAAGAAUGAAUAUAUUUUACAGCCUGUUGUAAAAUAUAUUUUAUUUGGCUUGGGGCUUGUUUGACUCAGGGAAGCUUUGCAGUUGUUUCCAUUUUCAUUGCUUUGAUGUGACCUGACCUGUGCUGGUGUUUGGAUUCAAAACCUGGAGUUGGAUUCUAGACUCUGCUGCUCACGAGCUCUGUGUCCUUGAAUAAACUCCUGAACUCCUUCUGGGCCUCACUUAUUUAGCUGGGUGAAGGAGACAGUUCCUGCCUUCCCUAUCUCUUAGAGCAUUUCAUCUGGCUCCAAAGACAGAAAGUGCUUAUGAAGGAGGGGAAGGGGGAAGUACUAAUAAAUUUGCCUAAGGACUUUUGGGAUUUUCCUGGGAAGGAAGGAACCAAAAUCUCAAUCCUUUCUUAGUCAUUUCAGGCUAUAGAAACCUUUAGGGUGGGCUGAGUGAUCUAUAGGAGUAUAAAAAGUCCUCUAUGAAAGCACUCAGGGUAGAAAGAGGUAUUGGAUGUGAGCCGAGGUGCUGGAUGUUGCCUUGUUCCAAAAAGCAAAGGAUUUGGCCUGGAGCAAAUGGCCCAGGUGGGUGAAUCUGGAAAGAUGGCAGUUGCGAGCCCAAGUCACAUUUGGCAUGUGGUGUCCUUAGCCAAGAUAACGCUGAGUAGGGAUCCCUCCUUCUUUUUAUCUGAAGGUCCAUAUUGCUCUGUUUGGUGGAAGAGGAGUGUUCUCUAAAACUGAGUGCUAUCAGUUUCCCCCUCUAAUAAGAAAUAUCUUAAAACAUUCCUUCUCUAUCUUGAAAUGAAAGUCAUAGAUGAUAGCACAUACACACUUAUAAUCUGCAAAAAAUAAUCAUCAUAAUAUCCUAAGUAUAAUAUAAAGAAAAAGUGGACACCAAUUUGUAAUAAAGCAGUAGGGCCCAACUAUACCAGAAGACGCAAUACAAAGUCAGGUAUUAUAUGUGUAGAAUCUCUGUGAGCUCAGUGGCCACAUAUACCAACCGGUACAGGUACAGUGGGCUAAAGACUGCCAUAUUACAAGUGGCUUAGCUGUCAGUGAUAUGAUUUUCUGAAAUAGUGGUCCACAACACUUGAUGUUCCAAACACACCCAAUAAUUUUCUGUUUACUGGACAUGAUAGCUGCAUUCCUGGAGAUUUCAGUAUAAGUUAAAACCUUGCCAAGACCUUGUGUGCUUAUACAUAAAACAGAGUCUAAGCUCAGAUAACUAUAAACAGGGGAGAAAACUUGUAUGCUUGGUGGAGUAUUUUUGGGUGUUUGAGUCAUGUAGGUCAUAGUUCUUGAUGAGUAAGAGGUAUUACCUGCUUUGCAGGAUGUCUAGAAUCCCUGGCCCUGCCCAAUAAAAGCUGGUAACAUACCUUCAGUCAUUGUGACGACCAAAAUGUGCCCUUCUAAUUUUAAGAUACCCUCUGGAGGUCAUGCCAUUCUUAUUGAGAAGCGCUAGGGUAGAGGUCAAGCUUACCUCCACUGCUCUAGAGACAGUCGGAAGUGACCAGGCCUUCCAGUGAAGGCAUUGAUAGCCAAUGGAAGACUUUACUGAGCUUCAUGGGAUCCCAGGUGUAUUAGCUUGGACUCCCAUAACAAAAUACCCCAAACUAGGUGGCCUAAAUACCAGGAAUUUGUUUCUCAGAGUUCUAGAAGCUGGGAAGGCCAAGAUCAAGGUGCCUGCUGAUUUAGUGCCUCUCUUCCUGGCUUACCUUCUCUCUGUGUCCUCACAUGGCAGAGGGGGAGUUCUGGUCUCUCUUCCUCUUCUUUUUUUAAAUAUUUAUUUAUUUGGCUUUGUCAGUCUUAGUUGCAGCACAUGGGCUCUCCAUUUGUGCACACAGGCUUAGUUGCUCCAUGGCAUGUGGAAUCUUAGCUCCCCUAUAGGGACUGAACCCACAUCCCUUGCAAGGUGGGUUCUUAACUACUGGACCACCAGGAAAGUCCUUCUCUUCCUCUUCUUACAAGGACCUUAAUGCCAUCGUGGAGGCUCCAGCCUCAUGACCUCAUUUAAACUUGAUUAUCUGCCAAAGAUCUUACCUCCUGGGCUUCAAUGUUUGAAGUUUGGGGUGAUGCAAAUAAUAAGUCCAUAGCACCAGGUUUCCAGCCUUUGUUUUCUAAAACAACCAUCUUCUGUUGGAAGCUGUUAUGGUCUUCUGGGGUCAAAGGAGACAUUGGAGUUCUGGUUCUAGGGGUUACCUAGGAGCAAGCAGGAUGAACAGACUGCUUGUUUAUGAGGAAAUGCCUGGGAAGUUCUUAAAUCCACUGGAGUGGGCAGGUACUGGAAAGAGAAUGUAGACAUUCUGUUCUUCUGGACAACUGGAGUUCCAAUCAACUCAUGUUUAAGAGCCUGUACUCGGGAGUUAGAUCUGGGUUUUAAUCCUGUUUCAGUCAUCUGGUAACUGUGUGACCCUGGGCAAAGUACUUAGCAGCCUGAGUUUCAGCAUGAAAAUGGGCAUAGACCUGUCUUGAAGAUUGGUGGUAAAGAGUAAUGAGAUCUGCUAGUAAAAAGCUUCGUAGGAUUUCAGGCACAUAGUUAGCAUACAUUAAUUUGUAUUGCUGCUUAAGGUCAUGCAGUCAUCCUUUGAGGACUUAUUUUUGUGGGGAAAAGCAUUCAUCACAGCUGAGGUUGCAUAGAACAACUCUGAUGAGGUAGAGCUCCAUUUCUACAGAAAAAGUGAUGGAAAUCUUUCUAGAAAGUAAUUCAGGGGGUAAACAAGCCACCUCUGGUUCAUAUUGCAUGCAAUGUUUUAAAUACGAAAGCAAGCAUCUUCCCUCCUACCCUUAAUACAUAAGGAAAUUUCUGCUUAAUGCUUCAUACUCAGUCCCAAGGGACUACCCAGAACAUUAUGAUCAUUUAUACAAUAAUCUUUAUACAGUUGGAAAUAUAUGCAAUGGCUGCCUUGGAAUUACAGGUUUGCCAUCUCAUGUUGACUUGUCCCUAGCUAAGCAGAGUUAGAACCAAUUACUACUCUGUUUGGAAAAGGCCUAGAACAGAUAUUCAUGGGAUUCUUCCUUAUCUAUACUAUUUCCCCUCAAAGUGAAUAUUAAUGUGUGCUUGUGUUGAUGCAAAACAAACACCAGGUCCUCUCAUGCACACACAUUUCCCUGGGACAAAUCACUGAGAAAAACUGUUGGGAUGUAUUUAAUGAAAACAUUUUGCUAGCUCAGAAAUUCUUAAAGAGAUCCAGCUUUCUUAUGGAAAACAACCCAGGAUUCUUAGAGAAAACAUUGAAGGUUGGAGAAGUGUUCUUUUCCUUUACCAGUCUUGUUUUGCCAGAGAAGAUGCUGUGACUGUCUUCUUCACUGAAGAGUGAAAGGAAGUUUUGAUUGUAUGCUUCUAUCAGUCCACAGACACUUUUUCAAACUUGUUUUUCUGCAUAACAUUAAGUCAAGUCCUUUUCUUAUAACUCUCUUCUUUCAUAAAGACUUUAAGACAAUUAAAAAAUGAGAAUAGGGUUUCCCUGGUGGUCCAGUGGUUAAGAAUCCACCUGCCAAUGGAGGAGACAUGGGUUAGAUCCUUGGUCUGGGAAAGAUCCCACAUGCAGUGGAGCAACUGAGCAAUACACGGCAACUACUAAGCCCCUGAGCUGCAUACUGAAGCCCGUACACCAAGAGCCUGUGCUCCGCAACAAGAGAAGCCACCAUGAUGAGAAGCCCACACGCUGCAACGAAGAACAGCCUCCAACUGCUGCCACUAGAGAAAGCCCACACACAGCAACAAAGACCCAGCACAGCCAAAAAUAAUCUAAAAAAGGGAAGGAACAAAAGACAGGGAACAAACGACGUCUGUAUAUGAAGAAAUGACAGAUGACCAUGGAUUAAGUGCCAACCUUGAUGAUUUACACAAGAAGGCCAAAGCAACUCAAGGAAGAGUGAGACCCCUAGAAUAUUUCAUGGAGGCCCCACGAUUGAUACAGAGGACUGUCAUAUGAACCAGAGAGGGUACCUGAAACCAAAGAAAAGACUCUAGUGUGUAGCCAAAGGCAUGCCUCCAGGGGUGAGAAGGAGCAGAUAUCUUGACAAACAGGGCAUCAGACCAGCUGUGCGUGGUCAGCCUCUGAUUUGGGCCCAAAAGGAAAAGAAAAUCAGAGGAGACAGUGACUCUCAGACUCUUCCUUGUUAAUGAGCAAGAGUUCCCUGGAUCCAAGAGCAGAAAGCUCUGGCUUAUGCACUCAAAAAGCUAGAGCUGACCCAGAAGUUACACUUAGAGAAUGAAAAGAAGGAGGAAGAACCUCUUAUAUAACUUGAAGAGUAUAAAGGAUCCAAUGAUAAAAACCACUGCCGUGAACUUUUCUGAAGCAUAAUAAAUCUCUGCAUAAGACUCUCCAUCCAUUGCCAAGAUCCUCAUUUGGGAGCCAUGUGGGAAGAGGACUGAAUUGGAAAUCAGACUCAGGGUCCUGCCUAGCUUUCUUCCAGAUGAUCCCACCAAUCAGCCAUCUGGUCUCAGAGGAAUACAUGGCUUCCUCCUGACUUCUUUGCAUUUUCCCAGUGCCUUUGAUUUGGGAAAUACUAUAAGAAUGAUGGCUGCAUGUUUCAGUGUUGGGAAUUCAUGAAACAGAACAGGGAUUCUCAACAUUUCCUGAAAUUUCAAAACUCAGAAGAAGAUUUAAAAAAAAAAAAAGAAUAUUCAACUAAAUAUUCAUUUGUUAGCCCAGCACUGGAAGGACCCAGCCCUAAAUAAUAACUGGUGGGUUGACUGGAAGGCUGAAGGCAGAAUCAUCUGAAGGGCACUCACGUGUCUGGUAGCUGACGCUGACUGUUGUCUGGGACCAACGUGGGGCUGUGGCUGGAAAACCUCCAUGUGGCCCUUCCAUAUGGCUGCUCAUCUUCCCCGCAGUAUGGUGGCCAGGUUCCAAAGGGGAAAAAAGAAAAAUGAACUCUAUCCCUUGAUGGGCAAGUAGCAAGUUCUACAAGAGCAUAUGGGACUGGAAAUACUAAUGUGGCCAUUUUUGGAAAAUACAACCCGGCCCAGUAAGUCCUCUCUUUACUGACGUGAUCUGUACUAUACAGCUGCAGAGCAGAGAUGGAAAACAGCCCAGGGCUGCUUGGCUGCCCAGCUGAAUAGUCCUUGGUUCCCACUGUGGCAUACACACAAGAAAACAUAUUAACACUGGACUAAUCACCAGGCCCCUCUAGCUGGAACUCUUGAAAUAAAGGAACAGCUAUUAACAAUUAAUUAUGGUUAGAGGAUAUGAAUGGGGCUUGCCUCAUAAAAGUGGAAUUUUUUGUGUGUAGAGCCACAUAGGAUACAAAAAUAUCAACAGAUAGAGGAACAGAAGAAACAAAGGCACAGAUGCUUGAAGCUGUCUGGCACACUUCAGGAUGAAUCAAGAAAGUGUGGGAAAUGCAUGCAUGGAGGAUGCAAGACUUUGAUUCUGUCAAAAGGAAAGAAUGAGAACAUGAUAAAUAAGGCAGAAGAAUUGCUUUGACUGAAGAUUUCAAAACUAUACCUCCCUCUUCCUCUGUAUUUUGAACAUGGUUCCAUAUACAUCUGACAGCUAGAAGUUGGUGAUGACUUUUUCUGCAGUGCCUAAAGGAGCAACAAAAGAUGGAUCAGACUUCCUGCCUCCUUCAAGUAUCUCACUAUCCUGCAGAGAAUGUUCUGCCUCUCCUUCCUCCAAUAUUCUCCCUUCUGACGAGAUCACCAAUUUUAUUAAAAAAAAAAAGAAAAGGAAGGGUGGUAGUGUCAAGCCAAGGUGGUGGAGGUCUAAAAGUUUCCCAGCCCUCACUCCAGUUACUCUUGCCUGGAAAAUUCCAUGCACGGAGGAGACUGUAGACUACAGUCCAUGGGAUUGCACAGAGUCAGACACAACUUCACUUUCAGCCCCUCCGUGAGCCCAUAAGAUUCAAGGAAGACAGUCUAACCAACAGAAGAAUCAUUCUUCAGUUUCUGCCACAUACCAAAACAUCAACUGUUGAGCCCCCACCACUCCUUGAGAAAAGUGAUGUCAUCAAUCUCAUUCAACUUGUAUCAUUAGUACCUGGAUCUACAAACAAACAAACAAAAAUCUCAAUGCCUAUUUGUUGAAUGGAUGAAUAGAUGGAUGAAAGGCAUCUUAGAGGUCAGCUAGUCCAACGUCUUCACUUUUAGAGAUUAUUUCUCUACUAGAAAUAAACUGCAAAAAAUUAAACCAUUAUGGGCAACCUAGCACUUUUGUGUGAGUGGGUGUCUAUGGCAUAUGAAGCUGAAACAAAGGAGGUAUACACUAACCUUUUUUGAGCAACACCACCACAUUGCCUUGCAUAAUGAACACUUAUUUUCACCUGGAGUCUACCAAUCACCAGAAUCACUGAGAGCACCGGUUAUUUUUAUGUGCUUCUGUUCUCUCCUCUGUGUUUUACAUCUGAUUGCUCUGCUGUUUGACAAGGAAUUUUGCCACACGGUAGGCGCAGCAUCUGAGAAAAGCUCCUGUUCCUGUGGGGUGACAUCUCUGCUUCUGGGCAUAAGGUGAGGAGGCAUCUGGUGACCUCUCUGCUUGUGCUGCCUGGUACCCUGAGGCUGUGGAGAAAUGACUGUGCGAUCGUUCACCUUGGCUCAGCCUGAGAGCUACUGUGACAGAUUUAUUGGCUCUGAAACAUUUAUCCAAGCAGAACCUUUAAACCAAUAUACAUUUCACUCACACACACUCUAGGGAGAGGGGGAGGAGAAGUCUAAGGAGUUGAACUCUGCAGAGAUAUAAGUCCACCCCUCACUUCACUCUUACAAAUUUGAGAAAUGAAAUGCAUCAUUUCUUCCAACCUCAGGUGUGUCUCUUUUUCUAACCAGUUUUUCUCAGUCAGGUGGUACAGAAAAAAAGCGCAUUAAUAAAAGGAAAUUAAUGAGGUCACUCAAUCAACUACUAUCUCAUUAUUUGUUUUGUAAGAGAAAAUAUUGAAUAGUCUAUGGUUCUUGCCUCUAAGAAACUUUCAAUCUGCUUCAACUCUGGUAGGAAUGGAGGAUGGAGAAAAUGGUUUGAAUUUAUAAAGGAAGGAAUUGAGAGCAAUAAGGAAGAACAUAUAAGGAAAAAUCAGUAAUAAUAUUAUCGCUAUUUUCUUGAUGAGAAAAAUAAAAACUUAGAGUGAAUAUAUGACUUAGCAGAGCUUCAGUUCAGUUUAGUCACUCAGUUGUGUCCGACUCUUUGCGACCCCAUGAACCGCAGCACACCUAUUCAAGAAUAAAUAGUAAACAGUUCAAACUCUGGUUCCAGUGUCAAAGGUCACGUAUUCUCUACUGCACUUGCUGGUAGUCUUCUGACCUGACUAAUGCAGGUUUUUAGUUCCAACUAGACACCCUGUAGUACACAGAAGGAUGUCUGUGUUGGAUAGGACCCAAGAGCUAGGGGUUGUGGUUUUUAAACACACAACUAGAAUACCUUUCCCUUGGGUCUGUGAAAGGUGAGGAGGUAGAACUGUGAAAUUCAUGCAUAAAGCUAGGACUGAGAAAGAACUGCUCUCACUGCAGAAGGUGACUAUGAUGCUUCGUUCACUUAUGACAAAAGCAACUGGCAAAGUUCUCACU